CCUACGGGUGGCAGCAGUGGGGAAUAUUGCGCAAUGGGCGAAAGCCUGACGCAGCGACGCCGCGUGAGGGAUGAAGGUCUUCGGAUCGUAAACCUCUGUCAGCAGGGAAGAACGGUCACUGUGCUAAUCAGCAGUGAAUUGACGGUACCUGCAAAGGAAGCACCGGCUAACUCCGUGCCAGCAGCCGCGGUAAUACGUAGGGGGCGAGCGUUAAUCGGAAUUACUGGGCGUAAAGCGCUCGUAGGCGGUAUGUCAAGUCAAGGGUGAAAUCCCCGCGCUCAACGUGGGAACUGCCUUUGAAACUGGCAAACUGGAGUGUGUGAGAGGAUAGUGGAACUCCAGGUGUAGGAGUGAAAUGCGUAGAUAUCUGGAGGAACAUCAGUGGCGAAGGCGACUAUCUGGCACAUAACUGACGCUGAGGAACGAAAGCGUGGGUAGCAAACAGGAUUAGAUACCCGUGUAGUC
rnacentral:rRNA from 1 species